CCUCUCUUCCUUGCCCGGCUCCUGAAGCCUGGCCUGUUGGUCCCGCCGAGGCUGCCAGUGGCACCCCAAGGCACUCUGGGCAGAGGUUCCACUGCUCGCAGCCCAGCAGGCAAACGCUAGAACUCGCUAGCUCCUUUAUCGUUUCAAGAUGCGAAUGAAGCGUCCUCCUGUGGGGCUUGGGAGAUGGCUUCCAUGGCAACUGCCACAGAGGUGACAGGUCCGAGAAGCGUGGGAGAAUUCGCUUCCUGAGGUUAAACCAAGGACAGCUAGAAGACCGGAGGAAGUGAAAGAUCCAUCUCCCCUCCCCCGCCCUCGGAGCGCUUGUUCCGAGGAUGGUUCUUUGUACUGCCUGUGCUGUUAACAUGCUGACUUGUUUUUCUAUCCCAUCCUUUCCUGUCUUCAGUUUGUCUUUCUUCCCCUUUGGCACCUUGAAUUUGCGUAUCACCAAAAUUGUUAGCAUGCAAUCUCUGUAUGGGGUUCUCUUUUCUAGGAGACAUGACUGACUUACGAUGUUCAUCAUUCAGAGGUAACUGAUGGAUUUGAGAUUUUCUUUUCCUAUUUGAUUCAUCUUAAAUUGGCUUCUGCAGAGGAUGUGAGGGAACCGAGUUCGUUCCUGUAUGGCAGAGAGAGAAAGCUCAUCUUGUGUUCGCUGGAAGGCUCCCUGUU
rnacentral:lncRNA from 1 species